CUAUCUCCUUUUGUGGCCAGAUGACCUCGGGUGACGGAGGAAGUGAAGGAAAUUCACAUUAGGCAGGAAAUGGUGAUGGGUAGACUGAUGGGACUGAAGGCUGAUAAAUCCCCAGGGCCUGAUGGUCUGCAUCCCAGG